CUUUGCACUUUGCAUGCCUGCAUUUUUUUGUUUUUGCAAGUUUGGACGCUUUUAAAGGACAUUUGCCUGCCAUAAAGAGGAUACCAUUUCUGUCUGAAUGAGGUGUACUCGGAGUUUAACAGGGAUGUUGGUAGAAAUCUUAAAGAAGAGUUCUUCGGUGUUCUUGAUGGUUUGUGUCCAAGCUUGAUGUAAAUCAAUGGUGGUUUGAUAUUUCUGUUUUUAUUAUUAUGAUAUUGAUAGUUAGUUCAUACAUAUUACAAAAAAUAAUUCUCCCACCUUCCCUUGUGGUACUUCUCUAUAUGAACAAAUAAACUGAUAAAGAUUUA